GAUUUCUGGUAUGAUACGCUUAGCCCGCCACGGUUUCGUGUGUGAGUGCUGAUGCGUCUCUGCCAUCCUUCUAGAUGACAUUUGUCUGCUCUUCAUUGAGUUGGACAUGUCGAUCUAGAUCGUUUACUUUGAAAAAAUUAGAGUGUUUCAAGCAGGCUUGUUGCUAUGAAUACAUUAGCAUGGAAUAAUAAUUUAGGACUUCGGUUCUAUUUUGUUGGUUUCUAGGACUGAAGUAAUGAUUGAUAGGGAUAGUUGGGGGUGCUAGUAUUCAGAGGCCAGAGGUGAAAUUCUUGGAUUCUCUGAAGACUAACUUAUGCGAAAGCAUU
rnacentral:rRNA from 1 species